rnacentral:misc_RNA from 1 species
AACGCAUAUUGCGCCUUCCGGUAUUCCGGGAGGCAUGCCUGUUUGAGCGUCAGUUCGUACUCACAAUAAUAAAUUAUUGUUUAUUAAUGGUUUUGGCAUUGUGGUUAUGAGUUGUGGGCAGCUUCUCAGCAGAAGCCUUGCCCUAACUUUAAAUAAAUGUCCAUCUUUGAUUGACAAGAGUAAAUUUUAGUGUAAUAGGUUCAUCCAACUCCACUAGUUUUUGCAUAUACAAACUUGCUCAUCAAAACGGCAAAUGCAUCAUUAUAUUUGGCUUUCGUCAGUAUUUUGGUGCUCUAUAUUAUACUUUUGACCUCAAAUCAGGUAGGGAUACCCGCUGAACUUAA